GACGAACGCUGGCGGCGUGCUUAACACAUGCCAGUCGUACGGUAAGGCCCUUUCGGGGGUACACGAGUGGCGCACGGGUGAGUAACACGUGAGUAACCUGCCCACAACUUUGGGAUAACGCUAGGAAACUGGUGCUAAUACUGGAUAUGUGCCCCUGCUGCAUGGUGGGGGUUGGAAAGCUCCGGCGGUUGUGGAUGGACUCGCGGCCUAUCAGCUUGUUGGUGGGGUAGUGGCCUACCAAGGCGGCGACGGGUAGCCGGCCUGAGAGGGUGACCGGCCACAUUGGGACUGAGAUACGGCCCAGACUCCUACGGGAGGCAGCAGUGGGGAAUAUUGCACAAUGGGCGCAAGCCUGAUGCAGCAACGCCGCGUGCGGGAUGACGGCCUUCGGGUUGUAAACCGCUUUCAGCAUGGACGAAGCUUUUUGUGACGGUACCUGCAGAAGAAGCACCGGCUAACUACGUG
rnacentral:rRNA from 1 species